AAACUGAAAAACAAAAAUUUUGUAAAUAGUUUCGACCUAUUUUUUGACGUAAGUCUUUAGUU
rnacentral:tRNA from 1 species